UACGGAGGAUGCAAGCGUUAUCCGGAAUGAUUGGGCGUAAAGCGUCCGCAGGUGGCUAUGUAAGUCUGCUGUUAAAGAGUGAGGCUCAACCUCAUAAGAGCAGUGGAAACUACAUUGGCUAGAGUACGUUCGGGGCAGAGGGAAUUCCUGGUGUAGCGGUGAAAUGCGUAGAGAUCAGGAAGAACACCGGUGGCGAAAGCGCUCUGCUAGGCCGUAACUGACACUGAGGGACGAAAGCUAGGGGAGCGAAUGGG
rnacentral:rRNA from 1 species